CUCUUGUAAGGUGAAGCCUGCCCAAUGACUGCUAAUAACCAAACCAAAAUCAGUUCAAUGGCCGCGGUAACUCUGACCGUGAUAAAGUAGCAUAAUCACUUGUCACUUAAUUGGUGACUGGAAUGAAUGGCUAAACGAAUCCUCCCCUGUCUCUGAAAGAACUCCGGUAAAUUUGAAAUAGCAGUGAAGAUGCUGCUGAAUAAUUGUAAGACGAAAAGACCCUAUCGAGCUUUACUGAAAGCUUGUAACAAAAUAUAGCUAUCCGUAGCGAAGCUCUUUAACCUGCAAGCCUGACAGUUUGGUUGGGGCGACCACCCCUAAAAAUGUAUCAGGGGAAUUCUAAAGGUUAUCACAAUAUGAAAAAUUGCCUUACUGGAGACAAACAAGUCAAUCAGUUAUAAUUUAUAGGACAUAUUGACCCGUUACUUUGCUCAUGAUAAGUAACGACUAUGAAAAAAGUUACCGUAGGGAUAACAGGG
rnacentral:rRNA from 1 species